rnacentral:misc_RNA from 1 species
CUAGGGUGUGUAAGAAAGUCUGUAGUUUCCUUGGACGUUAAUAAUACUGCAACUUGCAAGAAAGAUUUAAAGUUAGGUGUAGGCAUUGGAAAAAUUACAAUCAUGGACCCUGCACUUCUGAAAGAAAGAGAAGCUUUCAAGAAGAGAGCCAUUGCUACUCCUGUUGUGGAGAACAAGAAGAGAGAGGUGCCAUCCUCAGGCUCACAACCACCUUCAAAGAAAAAGUCAAAACAGUCUUCUAGUUCUAAGCCUAAAAUUGAUGCUAACACUUACAAGACUGCAUCAGGAACCUCACAGUAUAAUUUCAGUGUUCUGGCAAAGAUUGUAAAACAUAUGAAGCAACGGCACUUGGAUGGUGACACAGAACCACUAACAGUUGAAGAGUUGUUGGAUGAGACUAACCAGUUAGGAAUUGGAUCAAGACAACGUCACUGGCUUACUACAGAGGCCCUCGUAAACAAUCCCAAGAUUCAGACUACUCCUGAUGGUCGCUAUGUAUUCAAGCCUGUUUACAACAUUAAAGAUAGGAAGUCGUUGCUGCGACUGUUAGACAAGCAUGAUCAACGGGGGAUUGGUGGAAUACUACUGGAAGAUAUUCAAGAGUCAUUACCUAAUGCAGACAAAAUCAUAAAGAACCUUGGAGACAGUGUUAUUUUUGUUAUUCGCCCAAAUGACAAGAAGAAGAUCCUGUUCUAUAAUGACAAAAGCUUACAGUUUACAGUGGAUGAAGAAUUUCAGAAGUUAUGGAGAAGUGUAGCAGUUGAUGGAAUUGAUGAGCAGAAAAUUGAAGAUUACUUGCAAAAACAAGGAAUAACAUCCAUGCAAGAUAUUGGUGUUAAGAAACUGAAUCCAAUCCAGAAAAGGAAAAGGCCGAAUUCUAAAAAACCCAGAAACUUCAAGAAACAUAACGAACAUAUGGGUGACAUUCUUCAAGAGUACACCGAUACGUAGCCCUGUCUGUUUUUUGUUACACUUUUAGAAAAAUGAAACAUAAAAACCACUGUCGAGUGCUCUUGAAACUCGUCAUCUCUGCAACUCAUUUGGUGGUUCACUGUUAAAAUGAAACAAGCUACGCCUGCGGGAUAAACCGGCCACAUGGAGAACUCCUACUGAGUGAAACGUUAUGGAUAAGCUGUAUAUGACCACUAUCAACUGCACAUAACUCAUACACUAAUUACAGACAACUCAACCACUUCAACCUUGCCGCCGAGGGACCGACGUUUCAUCCUAACUGCUCUAACAACUAGCUGGCCAGCAACAACCGCCUCCUGGAACCGUGAGAGAGCGAAUGAACACAUCACCAAAAUCAAAUGCUGUAUCUAAUUAUCACCCUGCCACUGUUACCUUCUUCGAUAUAUAAGCCUCAGUCCUUUUAAUUCACUUAUAAGUUAUAGUUUAAAGUAUACUCCUAACUGUCGCCAGUGAGAUCGGAUGUUAAUAUUGGAAGGACUUUCAAGGGUUUAUCAUAAUAUUUGAAGAUUUCUGGUUAUAACUGUAUUCUUCAAAAAAUGUUUUCUACGAGAAUGUUUUUUUUUCUUCUUUUGUGAAAUAA